ensembl:lncRNA
AAUAAUGAAGAGGAAGAAAUCAGACAUAGCGUCCUUCUUCAAGUGGAAAGAAGUCAGCUAAGGCAAAGAAUGAGGGUGAGAUGGAGAAAAAAAAGGCAGAGAGCAAGGAUGAGGAGCCCCCAGAGAGCAGCAAUUUAAAUGGACCUCCAGAUUGAUCGAGAGCAGGACAGAAGAGUCCUCCCUGAGGAGUGGCCCCAGUGGAUCCCCAGAUUCCCACAGAAGAUUCAGACAGCGAGAGAGAGGAGCCUCCAACAACGAGUGGCGGCCCAAGGUACCUCCAGACAUUUCCAAAUCAAGAACCGAUAGAUCUUUAAGGACAGUCAUUGAAGUGUUCAGUUUUAAUGAGAUGUCACUGUUUGGAUUCUAUGUCUGAUAUGUGUAAAUGUGGCUCAAACUUUAAUCUAAUCUUGCAGAGUCCGCCUAAUACCCAUUGUGAAUAUCUCAUCUCAUCUCAUCUCAUUUUCGUCCGCUUAUCCGGGGUCGGGUCGCGGGGGGAGCAGCUCAAGCAGGGGGCCCCAG